UGAAAUUAAGUGAAUAUAAAAGUGUAAAAUAAGUGAUUGCGGAUGGAUUAAGAGUUUAGAGGAAUAAACUGCUUUUAGAUGGUGAGAAAAUUUUGGUUUGUUUGAAAUUAUGUAAUUAAUAACGCCCCGUGGGAGUGGUCACAGGGUUCAAAAGAGGGUCACCUGAAGCUAUCGGUCGCCAGCAAACUGAGAGGAAGCAACACCUUCGUCCAGAGCACAGGUAAGGACUCAGUUGGUGAUCGUGACAUGAAGCCUCUUGAAUCAUUAUUUCCAUGCAUUUGCUUUACUCUGGUCUGAAACUUCAUUUGCUCAACUGUGCCAUCGUGGACAAUAAAUGUAAAAUAGGCAGAGUGAUUAUCAGAGACACCCCCUUUGGUGUGCGAAUCUCUGAAUUGAAUAAAUGAAUGAAUGAAUGUGACGCCAUGUGUUUGAGAUAUCGAUACAGAAAUUAUUAAGUUAUUGAUAUUUUGUCUGUCUUUACGACACAGUAGCAGGGUGAAAAGGGGAACAGGACAUAAAUAGUAAUGGAGACAGUUGUGAUGUGAAUGUGCUUGUGUGUAACUUGGUUUGUGACUGUGCGUUUGUUACGGGGACAGCAUCGAACACGUUAAUAUUUCAUUCAUUUUCAUUAAAAAACAACUUUUCGACAAGUCUUCGGACUUUUAGCGGUACUCCGUCGCGUUUCGCUGCCCGUUAGAUUUUAAAUCACCCGCCAAAACCGCGAGCCGGUUCCUGAAUCAGUCACGUGGUACGACCGGUGUUCUGCCGUAGAUUGCACCCCUGCCGUAAAAUGCACCCCCUGACGGAAGCGCGGUUGAAAGUACAGAACAAUGCGAAAUAAUCCAAGUUUUCCCUACCAUUGGAUGAAUUAAAAAGUGUAUGCCUUUAAUGAUUUUGUUCAGGUUGUCCAGAUAAGCCGAAAACAACAGCCCUCUGAUUGGGAAUAUUUGCUGUCCCGGAAAUAUAAUGUUCUCUACCUUAACAGCUUACUGUACAGUUUAUAUACCCAAGUACACCUCUCUAUGUGCAUUUUUUAGACACAUAAAAACAGAGGGAAAGUUUGCUGCUCCAUUUGACAUGUUGUCAUGAUCUAAUACUCGUGUUUUGUUUUAAAUAUAAGAUCAUUUUCUCCCACUUUAAGAAGCUAAUGAGUGGAGGGGAUGCAUUCCACGGCAUAACACCGGCUCGCGAGGCUUCAAACGUUAUCACAUACGUCAUCAACUCAAGCUUCGAUAUGCGCUUCGCCGAAAUUUACUCGAAAAAUUCGACUCAUAUGGUUGUUUUUUUUUUUGUUUUGUUUGUUUUUUUCCUUAAAUUGAGCCAAAAGGAUGCAAAGCUUUAAAAGCUUAAUGAUUGAUUUUUAUAUUGAUGAAUCUACAGGCAUAUACAAUCUCUACUGAGCUAGUGUUUGAACAAAAUGGUCUUAGGCACGCUUUCAUAUUUAAAAUGCUUUUAUUUUCAUGGGAUUAUCAUACAAGCCUGACGUGUUAAAGCACUAACAAAGUUAAACACAAGACUUUUUCCUGUAAAUUUCCACUCUGGCAUCAAGUUGUAGCUUGCAGAGGGUGUGUGUAUGUACACUAAAUGUCCAGCAGAUGGGGUUAUUCAGGCCACUGGGCCUUAAAAUCCUCUGACAGCUACCCUAAACAUGAAUCCAUGACACCUACAAAAACAUUUAAGUGUUUUACUUUAAUGAAUAAGUUUGUUUUAAGGUUUACAUGAUGGUGCCAUGAAUAUAAUGUUCAGAAGACUGCAUUUGGCCUUAUUCUUAUUUUUCUGACUGUAUUAAAAGACGAUAAGAUCUCAAAGCCCAGUGUGAAAAAGCAAAACUGCUUAUUCAGAUCUGUCUUAGUGUACCCUGAGUCUGCAGUAGAAAGUGCUGUUGUUGGUGUGUACUAACUGUGCUUCUGUGUUUGUUUGUUUUUUUUCCAGCAUGUUCCUCAGACCCCAGCUGACUUCAUGUCCUCUCAGAUGACUCCACUCCACUGAGGCCAAAGGUGAGACUGAGGCAGGGAUGCAACUUUAUAAGCCUAGAAAGAAAAGAAAGAUGAGGCUUGAAAAUGGUCUGAUUUGGAGCAUGGCUGCCAACCAUCAUGCAAACAUGAGCUGUUUAAAAUGACUGGUAACACUUUACAAUAACCAUAACUUAUAAAUGGUAAAUUGACCAUUUAUGAAUGGUAAGCAGAUAGUUUAUUAAUAUUUAAAUCAUUUAUAAAUAGCAUAUAAGCCAUAAAUAAAUUGAUGGUUGUGUAUUUCUCUGUGUGUUAACCAGGAGCUGAAAUUACGCCAGGUUUGAUGGUUGUGUAUUUCUCUGUGUGUUAACCAGGAGCUGAAAUUACGCCAGAUCAGGUCAAACUGAGGCAGAACUCAUGACCGGCCUACACCUGGACCCUGUAAGGUAAGACAUUGACUACUUCACUCCACGGACAG
rnacentral:lncRNA from 1 species